rnacentral:lncRNA from 1 species
UCAAAGGUUGACAAAUUAAAUCGAUCGAUAUAAGCGUCAAUUAAUCUAAACAAACCAAAAAGAGAACUUUUUCUCAUGUUUUCGUAUUUAAAUUGAUAUCAGUUUACAGGUACAAAGAUAUUAUACGAUCACUCUUCUAUUUCUCUAUCUCACAUCAAUUGAUUCUAACCAACUACACAAACGGACACCCACUAAAUAUGAGGCAAAAACCUUCUCUUCUACGUUUGUUUGUUUCUUUUUCUUUCCAUCGUUCCACUUCAAAUAUCAUUUUCUUAUUUUCCAAUGGUCAUCCAAAAUCGGCAAAAUAACUAUUUAGGGAGACAUUUAUUAAAGAUACAAAAAUGUUACUAAAUAUUUGCAGAAAGCGUUACAGCCUAUAUAUAUUCCUGUGAAAAUAAUUUCGGCUUGGCUUCCGGACUUGAAAUCCAAGAGUACACAAUUUAGAUGACUUUCGUACACUACAUUAACUAAGUCACAAGAUGUCAUUUGUUAAAAGCCCGACUUGAAAACUCAAAAUAGGAAGCAAUUCAACGUCGUUUUGAUUGCAUACCUUUAGAGAUAUCACUAACCUAUCAACCCCUACUGCUUUUGAUUUUUAAUAUGUCCUUAAGCUGAUCCGGUCCUGACCUAAGCUCCAAUAAACUGGCGCACUUCUAAGCAUCAUCAAACAUUAAUAUCAUUUUAAGGGCGCAUCAUCACUGGACAUGUAAACGGCUGAGAAAACAUAAUUAGAUGUAUUAAUUUGAUAUUAUUAAUUAUAUAUAUAUAUAUAUAUAUUCUUGUGUAUUCACUUGGUAUAUCAAUUACGUAUAUUUGACCAUUAUAUGUAUAAAAAAAAUAUUGUACGUAGAACACUUUUAAGAAGUCUCAAAAAAAAAUUUGGAGAAAUCAUAAGUGAUAAUUAUAAACCAAGAAGAGGAUAUAACAUUAUAUAUUCAUCAAUAGACGCAUAUAAGAAAAAGAAAAUUGACAGCAGAAAGAUCAAUCAAAUAGAAAUUGAUGCAUUCUCUCUUUAAAGAAGCUUUUUCUCAUCACUCUUUCUUUGUCUCACCCUCCUUGUGUUUCCCCUUCUUCGGCUUGACGAAACAGAAGCAUGAACAACAAGGCAGCUGAAACAAAAACUUCAUCCUGAUUUAUAAUUGCACCAACAGUACAUCGAUGUCUGCCUUUUAUAUUUGAGCUUCAUUGCAAAUGAUAUUAUUAUUUUCCACAUCCAAUUUCAGUUUCUUUUUGGGUUUUCUUUAUUCGUUUCUGCUUUUUGGAUGCUUUUCAAACCAAGUUGAUUCCCCAAGAUAAGAAGAUGCCUCUGCCUCACACAACUUAGC